UUUUACGGUUACGAGUGUUGGAGUCUCGCCUGGUUCGCCCACAGACGUGAAAACGAAACGCGUUUUUCAAUGAUUCCACGGUGAAACGAGGGUCGAAAUCCUUCAGGGGCCUGAGCGUCUGCAGAGAGAACCGACACGUACGUGAUGAGAAAUGUCUGAAACAGGCCGGUCAGCGUGGAGACUUCUGUUCACCGCUCCUGCUCCAACAGACCACAUCCUAAUACUGAGUGCAGAGAAUAACAGUCAAGAGCCGCAGCAUUUGGUGGAGCACAUGAUUUUCACAUUCCACUGACCACAGUGGUGAAGGAGGAUUAGUCUCCAACAAUGAGGACGAGGCCGUGCUGCAACAAGAGGAUGGGCAGACAUGGAAAACACGUGGGAGCCAGGGUCGGACUCUUCUGCCUGGGAGCAGUUUAACUUUUCUUCAUCGUCUCCUCCUCCCUGGUUCUCUAAAGAGAACUUUCACUUCAGUCUUUAACUUCAUGUUUGUCAGCCUCUGUUCAGGAGUGAUGCUCCCACGCAGAUCUCUGACGACGUGCUGUGGCAAAAUGAGGAACUGCACUUUUUUCAUAAUAAAAGGUGCAAAAUUAAAAGAAGAAAAGAAAAAAAGGAGAGCAUGUGAUGCGUGAGAAAACACAUUGAUUUGGGGAUUUGGAAGUUUGUCAAUUUAUUACUUUUCUCGUCUGUACAACACGGUACAUAACAGACACAGAACAAAAAUUAUUAAUAGGGAAAAGAAUGAUAAAAAGGGCACGAUUUCAACUUUAUGUUUGCACUGCUAUGAGCUUUUUCUACCACACGUCUGGAGUCUUCGUUUGUCUUAUUACAGCAAAACAAAAAGAAAGAAAAAAGUGACUAACGGUGAAACAUGUUACUUCUCAAAAGCCAUGAGAGCGGCUUUUACAAAUGUUUUUUUUUCUUCUUUACAAUCUCCAAGCUGUGGUUCUCAGUGAACAGAUGUUAAACGAGAAGA